GGCGGAUGCCAAGCUCCCAGACGCACAGUCUGGCUACGAAAAAGGGUAUACGAAUGUACUGGCCGGUCACAGCGGCGCCAAUCUGAUUUAUGAAGCC
rnacentral:ncRNA from 1 species